AUUGAACGCUGGCGGCAUGCCUUACACAUGCAAGUCGAACGGCAGCGCGUCCUUCGGGAUGGCGGCGAGUGGCGAACGGGUGAGUAGAGCAUCGGAACGUGCCCGGUAGUGCGGGAUAGCUCGGCGAAAGCCGGAUUAAUACCGCAUGAGAUCCGAGGAUGAAAGCAGGGGAUCGCAAGACCUUGCGCUACUGGAGCGGCCGAUGUCAGAUUAGGUAGUUGGUGGGGUAAAGGCUCACCAAGCCUGCGAUCUGUAGCUGGUCUGAGAGGAUGAUCAGCCACAUCGGGACUGAGACACGGCCCGAACUCCUACGGGAGGCAGCAGUGGGGAAUUUUGGACAAUGGGCGCAAGCCUGAUCCAGCCAUGCCGCGUGCAGGAUGAAGGCCCUCGGGUUGUAAACUGCUUUUGUACGGAACGAAAGGCCUCCUUCGGAUAAAGGGGGGAGAUGACGGUACCGUAAGAAUAAGCACCGGCUAACUACGUGCCAGCAGCCGCGGUAAUACGUAGGGUGCGAGCGUUAAUCGGAAUUACUGGGCGUAAAGCGUGCGCAGGCGGUUUUGCAAGACAGUGGUGAAAUCCCCGGGCUCAACCUGGGAACUGCCAUUGUGACUGCAAGGCUGGAGUACGGCAGAGGGGGAUGGAAUUCCGCGUGUAGCAGUGAAAUGCGUAGAUAUGCGGAGGAACACCGAUGGCGAAGGCAGUCCCCUGGGCCUGUACUGACGCUCAUGCACGAAAGCGUGGGGAGCAAACAGGAUUAGAUACCCUGGUAGUCCACGCCCUAAACGAUGUCAACUGGUUGUUGGGGAUUUAUUUCUUCAGUAACGAAGCUAACGCGUGAAGUUGACCGCCUGGGGAGUACGGCCGCAAGGUUAAAACUCAAAGGAAUUGACGGGGACCCGCACAAGCGGUGGAUGAUGUGGUUUAAUUCGAUGCAACGCGAAAAACCUUACCCACCUUUGACAUGUAUGGAAUCCUGAAGAGAUUUGGGAGUGCUCGCAAGAGAGCCAUAACACAGGUGCUGCAUGGCUGUCGUCAGCUCGUGUCGUGAGAUGUUGGGUUAAGUCCCGCAACGAGCGCAACCCUUGCCAUCAGUUGCUACGAAAGGGCACUCUGAUGGGACUGCCGGUGACAAACCGGAGGAAGGUGGGGAUGACGUCAAGUCCUCAUGGCCCUUAUAGGUGGGGCUACACACGUCAUACAAUGGCCGGUACAAAGGGCAGCGAAGCCGCGAGGUGAAGCCAAUCCCAUAAAGCCGGUCGUAGUCCGGAUUGCAGGCUGCAACUCGCCUGCAUGAAGUCGGAAUCGCUAGUAAUCGUGGAUCAGCAUGUCACGGUGAAUACGUUCCCGGGUCUUGUACACACCGCCC
rnacentral:rRNA from 1 species